ensembl:snoRNA SNORD83 Small nucleolar RNA SNORD83
AGCACUCUGUGCAAAGAUGACCUGCUAUCUAUCACCCAUGACUGA